ensembl:lncRNA
UUUUAUUUCAUUAUUUCUUCUGUGGAAAAAGAAUAAGAAAGGCAAGGUCAAGCUAGUUUUUAAUAGAGACAUGUACAGAGAACAACCGCAAUUUUAAAAUAAAUGUGUGUAUCUAUCAAGAUAUUUCUUAUUAACCUUGGAACUAUAGGAAUUUUUGGCUGUAGGGCUUUUAGGCAUCUCAAGACUUUAAUUCAUUUUAGCCAGAUGGGGUCUCUGGUACUCAGUGGGGACUUUAAUGCUCAGUAGAGUCUUUGGUACUCAGUGGGGUCUUCGGUACUCUGUGGGUGUCUGAUAGCCUAUGCGGUCUUUGGUAGCCUGUGGGGUCUUUGGGAGCCUAUGUGGUCUUUGAUAGCUUGUAGGGACUUUCGUAGCCUAUAGGGUCUUUGGUACUCAGAGGAGUCCUUUGUAGCCUAUGAGGUGUUUUGUAGACUAUGUGGUCUUUGGUACUCACUGGGGUCUUUGGUAGCCUAUGGGGUCUUUGGUAGCCUGUGGGGUCUUUGAUAGCCUAUGGGAAUUUCGGUAGCCAUUGGGGUCUUUAGUAGCCAAUGGGGUCUUUGGUAGCCUGUGGGGUCUUUAGUAUGCAGUGGGGUCUUUGGUACACAGUGGGGUCUAUGGUACUCAGUGGGAUCUUUGGUACUCAGUGGGGUCUUUGAUAGCCUAUGAGGUCUUUGGUAUUCAGUGGGGUCUUUGGUAGCCUAUGAGGUCUUUGGUACUCAGUGGGGUCUUUGGUAGCCUCUGAGGUCUUUGCUAGUCAAUGAGAUUCUUUGAUCGUCAGUGGGAGUUUGCCAUGCAGUGCGGUAAUUGCAGUGAAAAAACAUGUUGAAUGAUUCAAGAUAAGGCACCAGUUCCAGCAUGUUCACAUCAGCACCUUUUAA